rnacentral:rRNA from 1 species
GACGUAGGGCGCGAGCGUUGUCCGGAUUUAUUGGGCGUAAAGAGCUCGUAGGCGGCUCGUUGCGUCGGCUGUGAAAACCCGCAGCUCAACUGUGGGCUUGCAGCUGAUACGGGCGGGCUGGGAUUCGGUAGGGGAGACUGGAAUUCCUGGUGUAGCGGUGAAAUGCGCAGAUAUCAGGAGGAACACCGGUGGCGAAGGCGGGUCUCUGGGCCGAUAUCGACGCUGAGGAGCGAAAGCGUGGGGAACGAACAGG